UCCGGUUUGUCACCGGCAGUCUCACUAGAGUGCCCAACUAAAUGUAGCAACUAAUGACAAGGGUUGCGCUCGUUGCGGGACUUAACCCAACAUCUCACGACACGAGCUGACGACAGCCAUGCAGCACCUGUGUCCAGGUUCUCUUUCGAGCACCCCGAGCUUUCACUCAGGUUCCUGGCAUGUCAAGGGUAGGUAAGGUUUUUCGCGUUGCAUCGAAUUAAUCCACAUCAUCCACCGCUUGUGCGGGUCCCCGUCAAUUCCUUUGAGUUUUAAUCUUGCGACCGUACUCCCCAGGCGGCGAACUUCACGCGUUAGCUGCGGUACUAAGGAAGUCUCCUUCCCCAACACCUAGUUCGCAUCGUUUACGGCGUGGACUAC
rnacentral:misc_RNA from 1 species